rnacentral:rRNA from 1 species
AAGAAACUACAAAGGAAUUGACGGGACCCGCACAAGCGGUGGAUGAUGUGGUUUAAUUCGAUGCAACGCGAAAACCUUACCACCUUUGACAUGUACGGAACCUUUAGAGAUAGAGGGGUGCUCGAAAGAGAGCCGUAACACAGGUGCUGCAUGGCUGUCGUCAGCUCGUGUCGUGAGAUGUUGGGUUAAGUCCCGCAACGAGCGCAACCCUUGUCAUUAGUUGCUACAUUCAGUUGGGCACUCUAAUGAGACUGCCGGUGACAAGCCGGAGGAAGGUGGGGAUGACGUCAAGUCCUCAUGGCCCUUAUAGGUGGGGCUACACACGUCAUACAAUGGCUGGUACAAAGGGUUGCCAACCCGCGAGGGGGGAGCCAAUCCCAUAAAGCCAGUCGUAGUCCGGAUCGUAGUCUGCAACUCGACUACGUGAAGUCGGAAUCGCUAGUAAUCGUGGAUCAGAAUGUCACGGUGAAUACGUUCCCGGGUCUU